AUGAGAGUUGGGAAUACCCGAAGCCUGUGAGCUAACUUUUAGAGGCAGCAGUCGAAGGUAGAAUCAAUGAUUGGGGUGAAGUCGUAACAAGGUAUC
rnacentral:rRNA from 1 species